AGUGAACGCUGGCGGUAGGCCUAACACAUGCAAGUCGAACGGCAGCACAGUAAGAGCUUGCUCUUACGGGUGGCGAGUGGCGGACGGGUGAGGAAUAGAUCGGAAUCUACUUUUUCGUGGGGGAUAACGUAGGGAAACUUACGCUAAUACCGCAUACUACCUACGGGUGAAAGCAGGAGAUCUUCGCACCUUGCGCGAUUGAAUGAGCCGAUGUCGGAUUAGCUAGUUGGCGGGGUAAAGUCCCACCAAGGCAACGAUCCGUAGCUGGUCUGAGAGGAUGAUCAGCCACACUGGAACUGAGACACGGUCCAGACUCCUACGGGAGGCAGCAGUGGGGAAUAUUGGACAAUGGGCGCAAGCCUGAUCCAGCAAUACCGCGUGGGUGAAGAAGGCCUUCGGGUUGUAAAGCUCUUUUGUUGGGAAAGAAAAGCAGCAGGUUAAUCCCCCGAUGUUCUGACGGUACCCAAAGUAUAAGCACCGGCUAACUUCGUG
rnacentral:rRNA from 1 species